ACAAAACAAGUCGGAAACUGGUUCCUGGACAUGAUGCACAAGCUGAAGGGGUCAAAGAAGGCACACCUGGUUGGCUGCUCAUCUUAGCAUUAUGCUUGACACUUGCAGCUGUUAUCUGCGUGUUUGUUGGAAUCGGCACCAAAGACAUGUGGUACGGGCCCAGUAGGCAAUGCCUCAACGGCAACUCCACAGGGUCAAAUAAACAUUCAGAAUAUAAUAAAGCAGCGACUCUUUCACUGUCCGAGAAGGAGCGGAUGGCACUCAUGAGCGCACAAAAGAAAGAGACGCAGGAAACAGACUGUUCCAUCAGCCUUGAAGAACCUCCAGAAAAGGAAUAUUUGAUGUAGUACUAGUUGAAAUGAAAAGGAAGUGAAGCCCUGAGCUCUGAUCAUUAUGCAAACAUGAGCUAAAAUCCAAAGAGUUAAUUUAGUUUAAAUUUUUUUGUUUGUUUGUUUGUUUGUUUGUUUGUUUGUUUGUAUGUUUUUGGUUUCAAUGUAAUACUAUAUUGUAGUCAGCCUGAUUUUUAGUGUUAAUGUGCUUUAUGGAUAAAUGCUUAUCACGUUACAGUCAAACCACACUUUAAUGAAAUGCACUUCUGACAGUAAAUCCUUUCCGUUUUCA